rnacentral:rRNA from 1 species
AGGACGAACGCUGGCGGCGUGCUUAACACAUGCAAGUCGAGCGGUAAGGCCCUUUCGGGGGUACACGAGCGGCGAACGGGUGAGUAACACGUGGGUGACCUGCCCUUAGCUCUGGGAUAAGCCUAGGAAACUGGGUCUAAUACCGGAUAUGACCUCAUGACGCAUGUUGUGGGGUGGAAAGCCUUGUGCGGCUAGGGAUGGGCCCGCGGCCUAUCAGCUUGUUGGUGGGUGAUGGCCUACCAAGGCGACGACGGGUA